UACGGAGGGGGCUAGCGUUAUUCGGAAUUACUGGGCGUAAAGGGCUCGUAGGUGGCCAACUAAGUCAGACGUGAAAUCCCUCGGCUUAACCGGGGAACUGCGUCUGAUACUGGAUGGCUUGAGUUUGGGAGAGGGACGCGGAAUUCCAGGUGUAGCGGUGAAAUGCGUAGAUAUCUGGAGGAACACCGGUGGCGAAGGCGGCGUCCUGGACCAACACUGACACUGAGGAGCGAAAGCCAGGGGAGCAAACGGG
rnacentral:rRNA from 1 species